rnacentral:rRNA from 1 species
UACGUAGGGUGCGAGCGUUGUCCGGAAUUAUUGGGCGUAAAGGGCUCGUAGGCGGUUUGUCGCGUCGAAUGUGAAAACCCGGGGCUCAACCCCGGGCCUGCAUUCGAUACGGGUAGACUAGAGUGUGGUAGGGGAGACUGGAAUUCCUGGUGUAGGCGGUGAAAUGCGCAGAUAUCAAGGAGGAACACCGAUGGCGAAGGCGGUUCUCUGGGCCUGAGUGACUGACGCUGGAGGAGCGAAAGCGUGGGGAGCGAACAGG